rnacentral:rRNA from 2 species
GUGCGAGCACCGAUAGCGAACAAGUACCGUGAGGGUAAAGAUGAAAAGAACUUUGAAAAGAGAGUUAAAGAGUACUCUGAAACUGCUGAAAGGGAAUCGAAUCGUUUCCAGUGUCUAUAAUCUGUGGCAUAUUUCAUUGGCGAGUGUGUGCGUGCAUUGUUUUGGAAGCAGUUUUCUGUUCCUGGGUGUGUUGUGCAUAUGCUUGCUGGCGCCCUGCGUUCAGACUGACCCUCAGGAGCCAAUUCGUAAGUUGCGGGAGAUGGCUAUUGGGGAGGUAGGGUCGCUUCGGUGGCUGUUAUAUCCUGAUAGCUAGUAGUCGUGGCUGGGAUUGAGGUGCCUACAACGUGCUUUCGAGUGUCUGGGUGUCUCGCUUGGCAAGCUAUCUUGACAGCUUGCUGUGUUGGCUGAUAUUAUUGAGCGAUUGAUGUCUGGGCCAACUUGUUGCUGUUCGGGACUUUG